AGUUAAUGAGCUUGUAAAGCAUGUAUUUUGAAAAUACAAGAAAGAUGAAUAAACCUUCUAUUAACUU
rnacentral:tRNA from 1 species